GUCAAGUCCUCAUGGCCUUUAUGCCCAGGGCUGCACACGUGCUACAAUGGCGCGAACAAAGGGAAGCGAGCCCGCGAGGGGGAGCCAAUCCCAAAAAACGCGCCCCAGUUCAGAUCGGAGGCUGCAACUCGCCUCCGUGAAGCCGGAAUCGCUAGUAAUCGCGGGUCAGCAACACCGCGGUGAAUGUGUUCCUGAGCCUU
rnacentral:rRNA from 1 species